UACGGAGGGGGCUAGCGUUGUUCGGAAUUACUGGGCGUAAAGCGUGCGCAGGCGGUUCUGUAAGUCAGAUUUGAAAUCCCCGGGCUUAACCUGGGAACUGCGUUUGAAACUACAAGGCUAGAGUGUGGCAGAGGGGGGUGGAAUUCCACGUGUAGCAGUGAAAUGCGUAGAGAUGUGGAGGAACACCGAUGGCGAAGGCAGCCCCCUGGGUUAACACUGACGCUCAGGCACGAAAGCGUGGGGAGCAAACAGG
rnacentral:rRNA from 1 species